GCUACAGGCUUAACACAUGCAAGUCGAGGGGCAGCAUGAACAAAGCUUGCUUUGUUCGAUGGCGACCGGCGCACGGGUGAGUAACGCGUAUCCGACCUGCCCAUGACUCGGGCACAGCCGCUCGAAAGAGCGAUUGAUUCCCGAUAUGUCAAUGAAGUAGAUUCAUGGAUGAAAGAUUCAUCGGUCAUGGAUGGGGAUGCGUAGGAUUAGGUAGUAGGCGGGGUAACGGCCCACCUAGCCGACGAUCCUUAGGGGUUCUGAGAGGAAGGUCCCCCACACUGGUACUGAGACACGGACCAGACUCCUACGGGAGGCAGCAGUGAGGAAUAUUGGUCAAUGGGCGGAAGCCUGAACCAGCCAAGUAGCGUGAAGGAUUACUGCCCUACGGGUUUUAAACUUCUUUUAUGCGAGAGUAAUGUGCGCUACGUGUAGCGUAUUGCAAGUAUCGCAUGAAUAAGCAUCGGCUAACUCCGUGCCAGCAGCCGCGGUAAUACGGAGGAUGCGAGCGUUAUCCGGAUUUAUUGGGUUUAAAGGGAGCGUAGGCGGGUCAUUAAGUCAGUCGUCAAAGCCUGUGGCUCAACCACAGCCCGCGAUUGAUACUGGUGACCUUGAGUGCGGAUGAGGUGGAUGGAAUUCGUGGUGUAGCGGUGAAAUGCUUAGAUAUCACG
rnacentral:rRNA from 1 species